AAGGGGACCUUUCGGAUGCCUUGGCUGCACUAUAAAAUUUAAUAUGGUAUCAGAGCGAUAUUCUGCUUCUGUCCGGUGGGUGCCGCCAGCCCUCGCUUUGUGGUGACGAGCCCUGGCUCGAGGGGGCGUGUUAAGAAUAGUCCCACAUCGGGUAAUUCAUGAACAUGAUAAGUGCUUAUAUAGCUGGGUAGACCACCCCCUUAUGAACCGGUUUUUAAGGGGACCUUUCGGAUGCCUUGGCUGCACUAUAAAAUUUAAUACACCCACCUUAUCUCUUUC
rnacentral:lncRNA from 1 species